rnacentral:rRNA from 1 species
CUAACCCAGACCCGUAAUCCGGGUCGGGGACCGUGCAUGGUAGGCAGUUUGACUGGGGCGGUCUCCUCCCAAAGAGUAACGGAGGAGCACAAAGGUACCCUCAGCACGGUCGGACAUCGUGCAAUGAGCGUAAAGGUAGAAGGGUGCUUGACUGCGAGACCCACAAGUCGAGCAGGUGCGAAAGCAGGUCUUAGUGAUCCGGUGGUUCUGUAUGGAAGGGCCAUCGCUCAACGGAUAAAAGGUACUCCGGGGAUAACAGGCUGAUACCGCCCAAGAGUUCAUAUCGACGGCGGUGUUUGGCACCUCGAUGUCGGCUCAUCUCAUCCUGGGGCUGAAGCCGGUCCCAAGGGUAUGGCUGUUCGCCAUUUAAAGUGGUACGCGAGCUGGGUUUAGAACGUCGUGAGACAGUUCGGUCCCUAUCUGCCGUGGGCGUUGGAGAUUUGAGAGGAGCUGCUCCUAGUACGAGAGGACCGGAGUGGACGAACCUCUGGUGUUCCGGUUGUCACGCCAGUGGCAUCGCCGGGUAGCUAAAUACGGACGGGAUAACCGCUGAAAGCAUCUAAGCGGGAAGCCCACCUCAAGAUGAGAUAUCACGGAUCUUAAGAUCCCUAAAGAGCCCUUGUAGACAACAAGGUUGAUAGGCG